UACAUAGGGGCCAAGCGUUGUCCGGAAUUACUGGGCGUAAAGGGCGCGUAGGUGGCAAGCCAAGUUAGAAUUUAAAGCCAGAAGCUUAACUUCUGUUCGAUUCUAAUACUAGCUUGCUUGAGGUUGGGAGAGGAAAGCGGAAUUAACAGUGUAGCGGUGAAAUGCGUAGAUAUUGUUAAGAACACCCGUGGCGAAGGCGGCUUUCUGGACCAAACCUGACACUGAGGCGCGAAAGCGUGGGGAGCAAUCAGGAUUAGAUACCCUGGUAGUCCACGCUGUAAACGAUGUAUAUUAGGUAUGGGAGGUAUCGACCCCUUCUGUGCCGAAGCUAACGCGUUAAAUAUACCGCCUGGGGAGUACGAUCGCAAGAUUAAA
rnacentral:rRNA from 1 species